UGUUGACCAAGUUCGGUCCAACUUGACCUAAUCUGGGGAAGAGAUGGAUCUCUCCAAUCCACUAUCAAUGAGUUCUUACAAAGGGAUACAAAUGGGUUACAAAAAUUUAGCUUAAACAAACUCACAAAGAACAACCCUAAUUUCUACCCAUUUUCCCAAUCUCACAAAUGAACAAGACACUCAAUGAUUUUCACUCACCCAAGGUGUUUACAAUGUUUCCCAACCCAAGAGAACUCUAAUCAAAGACCCUCGACCCUAAAGUUACCUCCUUUGAUUUCCCAAGUUUUCCUCUCUUGAAGUUCUCUCUCCUCCUUCUUCAAAAAUGACAACCUUAUCCACAAAUCGCGCCACGCCCGCACAAAAUCGCGCCAUGAUUUCCUUCAGCAGAAACUAUCCAUUCUGCCAGCAAAAUCGCGCCAUGCCUCUGAAAAUCACGCCACGAUUUUCAGCUUUCACAACAUCACAAUUUGAAGACAAUUUCAACAAUUAUUUCAGACUUUCAUCAUAACAAAUUUCAAAACUCAAAUAAAAGUUAUUGAAUCGUAACAAUUAUCCACAAUCGAGAUUUUCAUGUCGGGUAUAAAAUUUAAACUCAAAUAUGAAUUUAUGACUAAAUUCAAAUAAACUUAAAAGACUUAAUGCAUACAUUUGAUUUGAAUGUAAAAGCCACUAGGGUUUGGAGUUAGGUAUCACGGACUCUUUAUUGCUACUUUUGUACCUUUUUUUUCAUAUAGAAAGAUCAAAUCCACAUCAAUAAAACAAGCUAAAAUCUCAAAGGGAAAGCUAUCACUUUCUCUUUUUUUUCCCUUCCCCCCUUUGAACUGGUUUCCACACAAAUCCUCGGGCUUUGCUAGUUUGACACAAAAAUCAAACAAAAUCUACUUGGCUUCAUGAUUCUCCACUUUCAUAUUGUUUCUUUUGGUAACUUUUGUUUCCUUUCGUCUUGUUCUUUUUCUCACUUCUGUAAUUUACUUUUUACUCAUCGUAUUAAAAGUAGAGAAAAUUAAAGUAGAUAAAGAAUAAUAAUAUUUUGGGGUCCCCUACUUAGCUUUAGAAGGCAAUAAUAAGAUCAUGAUUUCUUGUAAGAAGCACCAACCAAUCACAAAACGUUACGCAAUGAGACUCAUG
rnacentral:lncRNA from 1 species